rnacentral:rRNA from 1 species
CACAGGUUGUGAACUCGAAGAGUAGGGCGGGACACGUGGUAUCCUGUCUGAAUAUGGGGGGACCAUCCUCCAAGGCUAAAUACUCCUGACUGACCGAUAGUGAACCAGUACCGUGAGGGAAAGGCGAAAAGAACCCCGGCGAGGGGAGUGAAAAAGAACCUGAAACCGUGUACGUACAAGCAGUGGGAGCACCUUCGGGUGUGACUGCGUACCUUUUGUAUAAUGGGUCAGCGACUUAUAUUCUGUAGCAAGGUUAACCGUAUAGGGGAGCCGCAGGGAAACCGAGUCUUAACUGGGCGUUAAGUUGCAGGGUAUAGACCCGAAACCCGGUGAUCUAGCCAUGGGCAGGUUGAAGGUUGGGUAACACUAACUGGAGGACCGAACCGACUAAUGUUGAAAAAUUAGCGGAUGACUUGUGGCUGGGGGUGAAAGGCCAAUCAAACCGGGAGAUAGCUGGUUCUCCCCGAAAGCUAUUUAGGUAGCGCCUCGUGAAUUCAUCUUCGGGGGUAGAGCACUGUUUCGGCUAGGGGGUCAUCCCGACUUACCAACCCGAUGCAAACUACGAAUACCGAAGAAUGUUAUCACGGGAGACACACGGCGGGUGCUAACGUCCGUCGUGAAGAGGGAAACAACCCAGACCGCCAGCUAAGGUCCCAAAGUCAUGGUUAAGUGGGAAACGAUGUGGGAAGGCACAGACAGCCAGGAUGUUGGCUUAGAAGCAGCCAUCAUUUAAAGAAAGCGUAAUAGCUCACUGGUCGAGUCGGCCUGCGCGGAAGAUGUAACGGGGCUAAACCAUGCACCGAAGCUGCGGCAGCGACACUUAUGUGUUGUUGGGUAGGGGAGCGUUCUGUAAGCCUGCGAAGGUGACCUGUGAGGGUUGCUGGAGGUAUCAGAAGUGCGAAUGCUGACAUAAGUAACGAUAAAGCGGGUGAAAAGCCCGCUCGCCGGAAGACCAAGGGUUCCUGUCCAACGUUAAUCGGGGCAGGGUGAGUCGACCCCUAAGGCGAGGCCGAAAGGCGUAGUCGAUGGGAAACAGGUUAAUAUUCCUGUACUUGGUGUUACUGCGAAGGGGGGACGGAGAAGGCUAUGUUAGCCGGGCGACGGUUGUCCCGGUUUAAGCAUGUAGGCGGAGGUUCCAGGUAAAUCCGGUACCUUUUAACGCUGAGGUGUGAUGACGAGGCACUACGGUGCUGAAGUAACAAAUGCCCUGCUUCCAGGAAAAGCCUCUAAGCAUCAGGUAACAUCAAAUCGUACCCCAAACCGACACAGGUGGUCAGGUAGAGAAUACCAAGGCGCUUGAGAGAACUCGGGUGAAGGAACUAGGCAAAAUGGUGCCGUAACUUCGGGAGAAGGCACGCUGGUGUGUAGGUGAAGUCCCUGCGGACGGAGCUGAGACCAGUCGAAGAUACCAGCUGGCUGCAACUGUUUAUUAAAAACACAGCACUGUGCAAACACGAAAGUGGACGUAUACGGUGUGACGCCUGCCCGGUGCCGGAAGGUUAAUUGAUGGGGUUAUCCGUAAGGAGAAGCUCUUGAUCGAAGCCCCGGUAAACGGCGGCCGUAACUAUAACGGUCCUAAGGUAGCGAAAUUCCUUGUCGGGUAAGUUCCGACCUGCACGAAUGGCGUAAUGAUGGCCAGGCUGUCUCCACCCGAGACUCAGUGAAAUUGAACUCGCUGUGAAGAUGCAGUGUACCCGCGGCAAGACGGAAAGACCCCGUGAACCUUUACUAUAGCUUGACACUGAACAUUGAGCCUUGAUGUGUAGGAUAGGUGGGAGGCUUUGAAGCGUGGACGCCAGUCUGCGUGGAGCCAACCUUGAAAUACCACCCUUUAAUGUUUGAUGUUCUAACGUUGGCCCGUAAUCCGGGGUUGCGGACAGUGUCUGGUGGGUAGUUUGACUGGGGCGGUCUCCUCCCAAAGAGUAACGGAGGAGCACGAAGGUUAGCUAAUCCUGGUCGGACAUCAGGAGGUUAGUGCAAUGGCAUAAGCUAGCUUGACUGCGAGCGUGACGGCGCGAGCAGGUGCGAAAGCAGGUCAUAGUGAUCCGGUGGUUCUGAAUGGAAGGGCCAUCGCUCAACGGAUAAAAGGUACUCCGGGGAUAACAGGCUGAUACCGCCCAAGAGUUCAUAUCGACGGCGGUGUUUGGCACCUCGAUGUCGGCUCAUCACAUCCUGGGGCUGAAGUAGGUCCCAAGGGUAUGGCUGUUCGCCAUUUAAAGUGGUACGCGAGCUGGGUUUAGAACGUCGUGAGACAGUUCGGUCCCUAUCUGCCGUGGGCGCUGGAGAAUUGAGGGGGGCUGCUCCUAGUACGAGAGGACCGGAGUGGACGCAUCACUGGUGUUCGGGUUGUCAUGCCAAUGGCACUGCCCGGUAGCUAAAUGCGGAAGAGAUAAGUGCUGAAAGCAUCUAAGCACGAAACUUGCCCCGAGAUGAGUUCUCCCUGAGACUUUAAGUCUCCUGAAGGAACGUUGAAGACGACGACGUUGAUAGGCCGGGUGUGUAAGCGCAGCGAUGCGUUGAGCUAACCGGUACUAAUGAACCGUGAGGCUUAACCUUACAACGCCGAAGCUGUU